AAAAUGGUUAUAAUUAGGCAUUAAAAUUAAUAUUUUACAAAUAUUAAUAUUUUCCUAUAAACAACGAACAAAGAGUUCACAAUCAGUCGUCCCGUUCCCUCCAAUUUUCGAGCAAUAAUGAAGAAGACCAUUCCCAAUUUGCCUUUCCCGCGAAUUCUUCCUUAUGUGAGAGCUUUCUAAGAUCCAACCAUUUUAGCUCCAGCGAUUCUUUCUGUACAACAAAAUCUUCAAGUAUCUCUUUAUUUACAAAUUCAUGGCUGUCGAAGCUUCCAUUGAAUGCGAUGGGAGAAAUGGAGAAGUCAACGAUCGUGAAAGACGGCCGUACUCGCAGCGUUCAUCUCUACAGCAAGGUCAUCCUUCCCAUAAGGACUUGCGUUGUGUUCAACUUGGCACUUGGCUGGCGCUUGUAUUGUCUUGACCCCUGACUUCUUUGCUUGCAACCAUUGACACUAUUCUUUUACUGUGAUUGACUUUUUGAAAGGUACUCACUUGGUCACCUUCUAGUGUUAGAACCACAAAAACUUAAUAUUUUAAGUAUGAACUCUCGUAA